rnacentral:rRNA from 1 species
GACGUAGGGCGCGAGCGUUGUCCGGAUUUAUUGGGCGUAAAGAGCUCGUAGGCGGCUUGUCGCGUCGUUCGUGAAAACCUGGGGCUCAACCCCCAGGCUUGCGGGCGAUACGGGCAGGCUAGAGUUCGGUAGGGGAGACUGGAAUUCCUGGUGUAGCGGUGGAAUGCGCAGAUAUCAGGAGGAACACCGAUGGCGAAGGCAGGUCACUGGGCCGCAACUGACGCUGAGGAGCGAAAGCAUGGGGAGCGAACAGG